UGGAAAAGAAGAUUUCACGCCAUCUCUCUGCUUCCUAACAUCCAGCCACCCCAUUGAUGAGUACAAGGUCAACUAUCUCCGUCCUAAUUUCGAGCCACCGUUAAGAUUUCAAAUGCAGGGAAGAGAUUACGGAACAAUAAUAACUGAGUUGAUUUCCGUUUCGAAAUUAAUACGACGAUGGAUGCGAAACAAAUCCUACUCACUCACCUAGUUCCUCCUCUGAAGGUUUUUCCUGAAUUCAUCUGGGUACCGGUAUCAGAGGUUUAUCCGAAUAUGGAUCCGAAUACAAGCUCUCGAAUGAAGACCGGGACUUGCUUAUCUGGUUGGGAGGUAACUCUGUUGAACAUUUUCCUAUAAGAUCUAACAAGGAAUGUCCACAACAAGAUUCUGGAAGUGUGGAUUGUGAGAUUGGAGUGAUGUACAUUGUCAAGAAAUUAUCAGAAGGGGGAGUGGCGAAAUCUACCUUAACCAAAGGUGUAAUGGCGAAUAUGAGGGUACAUCUUUUAGAAAGAUUCUUAAAUAUGCCGAAUGGUGCCUAGAACUGUGAAAAGAAGUAACGAGUGCAGCUUGAAGGGAUUUUUUAGCAUUUUAAUUUUGGUUAAUAAUGUAUCGCCUUAAAUUAGAGGGCAACAAUUUGAAUUGCAUGUUUUGGGAACUACCUUUGUUUUUGGUUAAUAAUACUUAA